ACGUGCGCGGGCUGCGGGGCAGCGGCACCGGCACCGGCGCGGGGACGCGCUCGGGCGGACGCGUGGGGACACGCAGCGACCAAGGCCACCCUGCAGUGCAUGAAGCUGGGGCAGGCAGCCACGUCCCAGCCACUGUGGUGACCUUUGGAGUGGGGAAGGUGCGCCGAGGUGUCCCCACGUGGUGGGACGUUCAGCCCUGGGAGGUGACCCCGAGACAAUCCCCUGUCACCCCACAGCAUCACCCACAGAUGGAUGGCACCCAGGCUGUGGAGCACAGGCCAUGAGACAAACUCAGUGAGAGCUUUGGAGACACUUCAGGCUUGCUCUGAGGGCACCAAAGUCAUAUCACAUGGGUGACCUUGGCCGUGCACCGUGAGCAUGCCAUGUGGCCAUGGUGGCACAGCCCUGCUGGGGGUGCCUGACCCCGCCAGGUUAGCAUCCUGCAAA